UCUAAAACGACUCUCGGCAACGGAUAUCUCGGCUCUCGCAUCGAUGAAGAACGUAGCGAAAUGCGAUACUUGGUGUGAAUUGCAGAAUCCCGUGAACCAUCGAGUCUUUGAACGCAAGUUGCGCCCCAAGCCUUCUGGCCGAGGGCACGUCUGCCUGGGUGUC
rnacentral:rRNA from 3 species